rnacentral:rRNA from 1 species
CGGGUCCUACGGGGCGCAGCAGUAGGGAAUCUUCCACAAUGGGCGAAAGUCUGAUGGAGCAACGCCGCGUGAGUGAAGAAGGGUUUCGGCUCGUAAAGCUCUGUUGGUAGUGAAGAAAGAUAGAGGUAGUAACUGGCCUUUAUUUGAAGGUAAUUACUUAGAAAGUCACGGCUAACUACGUGCCAGCAGCCGCGGUAAUACGUAGGUGGCAAGCGUUGUCCGGAUUUAUUGGGCGUAAAGCGAGUGCAGGCGGGUCCAUAAGUCUGAUGUGAAAGCCUUCGGCCCCACCGAAAAAUU